GGAAACUGAGGAUAAUACUGGAUAGGCAAUUAUUCCUGCAAUGGGUUUUUGUUUAAAUGUUUUUUCGCCUAAGGAUGGGUCUGCGGCCGAUUAGGUAGUUGGUUAGGUAAUGGCUUACCAAGCCGUUGAUCGGUACGGGUUGUGAGAGCAAGAGCCCGGAGAUGGAACCUGAGACAAGGUUCCAGGCCCUACGGGGUGCAGCAGGCGCGAAACCUCCGCAAUGUGAGAAAUCGCGACGGGGGGAUCCCAAGUGCCAUUCUUAACGGGAUGGCUUUUCAUUAGUGUAAAGAGCUUUUGGAAUAAGGGCUGGGCAAGACCGGUGCCAGCCGCCGCGGUAACACCGGCAGCUCUAGUGGUAGCAGUUUUUAUUGGGCCUAAAGCGUCCGUAGCCGGUUUAAUAAGUCUCUGGUGAAAUCCUGUAGCUUAACUGUGGGAAUUGCUGGAGAUACUAUUAGACUUGAGACCGGGAGAGGUUAGAGGUACUCCCAGGGUAGAGGUGAAAUUCUGUAGUCCUGGGAGGACCGCCUGUUGCGAAGGCGUCUAACUGGAACGGUUCUGACGGUGAGGGACGAAAGUUAGGGGCGCGAACCGGAUUAGAUACCCGGGUAGUCCUAACCGUAAACGAUGCGGACUUGGUGUUGGGGUGGCUUUGAGCUGCUCCAGUGCCGAAGGGAAGCUGUUAAGUCCACCGCCUGGGAAGUACGGUCGCAAGACUGAAACUUAA
rnacentral:rRNA from 1 species